GACGAACGCUGGCGGCGUGCUUAACACAUGCAAGUCGAACGAAGAGCGAUGGAAGCUUGCUUCUAUCAAUCUUAGUGGCGAACGGGUGAGUAACGCGUAAUCAACCUGCCCUUCAGAGGGGGACAACAGUUGGAAACGACUGCUAAUGCCGCAUACGAUCUGACCUCGGCAUCGAGGAUAGAUGGAAGGUGGCCUCUAUUUAUAAGCUAUCACUGAAGGAGGGGAUUGCGUCUGAUUAGCUAGUUGGAGGGGUAACGGCCCACCAAGGCGAUGAUCAGUAGCCGGUCUGAGAGGAUGAACGGCCACAUUGGGACUGAGACACGGCCCAGACUCCUACGGGAGGCAGCAGUGGGGAAUCUUCCGCAAUGGACGAAAGUCUGACGGAGCAACGCCGCGUGAGUGAUGACGGCCUUCGGGUUGUAAAGCUCUGUUAAUCGGGACGAAAGGCCUUCUUGCGAAUAGUUAGAAGGAUUGACGGUACCGGAAUAGAAAGCCACGGCUAACUACGUG
rnacentral:rRNA from 1 species